CAAAGUUGUGAAGCAUAAAAUGGUUAGAAUCGGGAAGAACUACUACUGCGGGCAAGCACAGUAAUGCAGAGCGAAAACGCCCAGACUACCAGCUAAGGCACAGAAAUAAAAGAUACGUGGCAAAGUAGGUAAGAGUGCAGCGAGAGACAGGGUGUUUGCGUCGAAGCAGCCGACCUCUAAAGAGUGCGUAAGAGCUCACUCAUCAAGCGCUUUUGCGGCGAAAAUGACCGGAACUAAGUUUUUUGCCGAAGCUGUGGCUACAUCACACAGAUGAUGUAGGGUAGAGGAGCGUUCCGCCCAGGGGGAAGCCAAGCGCGUAAGCCGCGGUGGACAGGGCGGAAGUGAGAAUGUCAGCUUGAGUAACGCAAACAUUGGUGAGAAUCCAGUGCCCCGAAAACUCAAGGGUUCCUGCGCAAGGCUCGUCCGCGCAGGGUCAGUCAGGACCUAAGGUGAGGCCGAAAGGCGUAAUUGAUGGCAAGAAGGUUUAUAUUCCUUCACUAGUCUAGGCUUAGUCCUGAGGGACGAACAAAUAACACUCGGCACAAUGGCCUUCCAUGGUAGGAAGGGUCAAACCAUUGUUGUUUGAUGGUAUUUUUUCCAAGAAAAGCUCAUUCGACUUUGAGUCUAGACUACCUGUACCGUAAACCGACACAGGUGAGUGGGUUGAAUAAACUAAGGGGAGCGAGAUAACUCUCUCUAAGGAACUCGGCAAAUUGGCUCUGUACCUUCGGAAGAAAGAGUGCCCCUCAGGGGGCCGCAGUGAAGAGAUCCAGGCGACUGUUUACCAAAAACACAGGUCUCCGCAAAGUCGUAAGACGACGUAUGGGGGCUGACACCUGCCCAGUGCCAGAAGGUUAAAGAAGUUGGUCAAUCUAUGAUGAAGCUAACGACUGAAGCCCUGGUGAACGGCGGCAGUAACUAUAACUGUCCUAAGGUAGCGAAAUUCCUUGUCGGGUAAGUUCCGACCCGCACGAAAGGUGUAACGAUCUGGAUACUGUCUCAGAGAGAGACUCGGUGAAAUAAAACUAUCUGUGAAGAUGCGGAUUACCUGCACACGGACAGAAAGACCCUAUGAAGCUUUACUGUAACCUGGAAUUGCUCUCAAGCUUAUCUUGCGCAGCUUAGGUGGGAGGCUAUGAACCUUUUCUUCUGGGAAGAGGGGAGCCAUCAGUGAGAUACCACUCUUGGUAAGCUAGAGCGCUCAGUCUUCACCGUCAUCCGGUAAGACGACAGUUUCAGGCGGGCAGUUUGACUGGGGCAGUCACCUCCCAAAAGGUAAUGGAGGUGUGCAAAGGUUCCCUCAGGCUGGACGGAAAUCAGCCAUAGAGUGUAAAAGCAAAAGGGAGCUUGACUGCGAGACUGACAUGUCAAGCAGAGACGAAAGUCGGCUUUAGUGAUCCGACGGUGCUGUGUGGAAAGGCCGUCGCUCAACGGAUAAAAGUUACUCUAGGGAUAACAGGCUAAUCUCCCCCAAGAGUUCACAUCGACGGGGAGGUUUGGCACCUCGAUGUCGGCUCGUCGCAUCCUGGAGCGGAAGUACGUUCCAAGGGUUGGGCUGUUCGCCCAUAGAAAGCGGCACGCGAGCUGGGUUCAGAACGUCGUGAGACAGUUUGGUCCAUAUCCUGUGUAGGCGUUUAGAGCAUUGAAAGGAUCUCCCCUUUGUACGAGAGGACCAGGUGGGGACAGACCGCUAGUGUACCAGUUAUCCCACCAGGGGUAAACGCUGGGUAGCUAUGUCUGGAGUAAAUAACUGCUGAAAGCAUAUAAGUAGGAAGUUCACCUUAAGAUGAGUGCUCUUUUGU
rnacentral:rRNA from 1 species